UGGGGAAUAUUGGACAAUGGGCGAAAGCCUGAUCCAGCCAUGCCGCGUGGGUGAAGAAGGUCUUCGGAUUGUAAAGCACUUUAAGUUGGGAGGAAGGGCAUUAACCUAAUACGUUAGUGUUUUGACGUUACCGACAGAAUAAGCACCGGCUAACUCUGUGCCAGCAGCCGCGGUAAUACAGAGGGUGCAAGCGUUAAUCGGAAUUACUGGGCGUAAAGCGCGCGUAGGUGGUUUGUUAAGUUGGAUGUGAAAUCCCCGGGCUCAACCUGGGAACUGCAUUCAAAACUGACUGACUAGAGUAUGGUAGAGGGUGGUGGAAUUUCCUGUGUAGCGGUGAAAUGCGUAGAUAUAGGAAGGAACACCAGUGGCGAAGGCGACCACCUGGACUAAUACUGACACUGAGGUGCGAAAGCGUGGGGAGCAAACA
rnacentral:rRNA from 1 species